GACGAACGCUGGCGGCGUGCUUAACACAUGCAAGUCGAGCGGGAACCUCGGCAGGGGUAACCCUUCCGAGGGGAGAGCGGCGAACGGGUGAGUAACACGUGGGCAACCUGCCCCGGACACCGGGAUAACCCAGGGAAACCUGAGCUAAUACCGGAUACUCCGGCACGAUCGCAUGGUCGUGCCGGGAAAGCUCCGACGGUCCGGGAUGGGCCCGCGGCCUAUCAGCUUGUUGGUGAGGUAACGGCCCACCAAGGCGACGACGGGUAGCUGGUCUGAGAGGACGGCCAGCCACACUGGGACUGAGACACGGCCCAGACUCCUACGGGAGGCAGCAGUGGGGAAUCUUGCGCUAAUGCGCGAAAGCGUGACGCAGCGACGCCGCGUGGGGAUGAAGGCCCUCGGGUUCGUAAACCCCUUUCGCCAGGGAAGAAGGGAAACUGACGGUACCUGGAGAAGAAGUCCCGGCUAACUACGUGCCAGCAGCCGCCGCGGUAAU
rnacentral:rRNA from 1 species